rnacentral:misc_RNA from 1 species
GAUGAAGAACGUUGCGAAAUGCGAUAAGUAAUGUGAAUUGCAGAAUUCAGUGAAUCAUCGAAUCUUUGAACGCACCUUGCGCUCUUUGGUAUUCCGAAGAGCAUGCCUGUUUGAGUGUCAUGAAAAUAUCAACCUUGACUUGGGUUUUGUGCUCUAGUCUCGGCUUGGAAUUGGGUGCUUGCCGCUUUUACGAGCGGCUCACCUUAAAUGUAUUAGCUGGAUCUGUCUUUGAGACUUGGUUUGACUUGGCGUAAUAAGUAUUUCGCUAAGGACAUUCUUCGGAGUGGCCUCGUUUCUAGGACGCUUGUCCGCUUUCCAAUACAAGUUCCACCUCGUGGACAUGACUUUUUAUUAUCUGGCCUCAAAUCAGGUAGGACUACCCGCUGAACUUAAGCAUAUCAAUAAGCGGAGGA